AAAUUGAAGAGUUUGAUCAUGGCUCAGAUUGAACGCUGGCGGCAGGCCUAACACAUGCAAGUCGAGCGGUAGCACAGAGAGCUUGCUCUCGGGUGACGAGCGGCGGACGGGUGAGUAAUGUCUGGGAAACUGCCUGAUGGAGGGGGAUAACUACUGGAAACGGUAGCUAAUACCGCAUAACGUCGCAAGACCAAAGUGGGGGACCUUCGGGCCUCAUGCCAUCAGAUGUGCCCAGAUGGGAUUAGCUAGUAGGUGGGGUAACGGCUCACCUAGGCGACGAUCCCUAGCUGGUCUGAGAGGAUGACCAGCCACACUGGAACUGAGACACGGUCCAGACUCCUACGGGAGGCAGCAGUGGGGAAUAUUGCACAAUGGGCGCAAGCCUGAUGCAGCCAUGCCGCGUGUGUGAAGAAGGCCUUCGGGUUGUAAAGCACUUUCAGCGGGGAGGAAGGCGUUAAGGUUAAUA
rnacentral:rRNA from 1 species